rnacentral:rRNA from 1 species
GACGAACGCUGGCGGCGUGCCUAAUACAUGCAAGUCGAGCGCAGGAAACUGACGGAACUCUUCGGAGGGAAGGCAGUGGAAUGAGCGGCGGACGGGUGAGUAACACGUAAGGAACCUGCCUCAAGGAUUGGGAUAACUCCGAGAAAUCGGAGCUAAUACCGGAUAGUUCAACGGACCGCAUGGUCCGCUGAUGAGAGGCGCUCCGGCGUCACCUUGAGAUGGCCUUGCGGUGCAUUAGCUAGUUGGUGGGGUAACGGCCCACCAAGGCGACGAGGACUAGCCGACCUGAGAGGGUGAUCGGCCACACUGGGACUGAGACACGGCCCAGACUCCUACGGGAGGAAGCAGUAGGGAAUCUUCCACAAUGGACGAAAGUCUGAAGGAGCAACGCCGCGUGAGUGAUGAAGGUUUUCGGAUCGUAAAACUCUGUUGUAAGGGAAGAACACGUACGAGAGGGAAUGCUCGUACCUUGACGGUACCUUACGAGAAAGCCACGGCUAACUACGUGCCAGCCGCCGCCGUAACAC